GCCCCCGUAGCUCAGUAGGAUAGAGCGACGGUUUCCUAAACCGUAGGUCGUUGGUUCGAAUCCAAUCGGGGGUA
rnacentral:tRNA from 1 species